ACUCUCCAAGACGCAAGGUUACACGGAUUCAGGGAUUGGCAGUCGCCUGUCCUCCUAAAACAUCUAUGGUUAAUCUUCUUGCCUUUCAGUAGCGAGCCCAGAUGGAACCUACACAAAGAACCAGAGAGCAUGGGGUUGGGGUGUGUUUGGAAAAAGCCAGCAAAGGCAUUUUAACUGAGGUUCAGGAGAGGUCUGUUCAAGAUGAGCUCUCCAACUUGGUGAUCUAGUGCAAGUCAGUUCCUUCCCAGCACAUUGUAAGCACUUUAUAUUUAUAUAUAAAUUCUAUAGUAAAGUGUGUGUAUGUGUACAUAAGAAAAUCACAUAUCCGUUAUAUAUAUUUGUACAAGUUGUACAUGUGCAUAUGUAGAUAAAUAAAUUUAUUUGCAUAUGUAUUAUGUGUUUGUAUUGAAGACGGUGUCCGAGCUAGAUGAGGACCCACGCCCUUACCAGCUGGACCACGUUAGGACUGGAGCGCUGGGGACCAAAGGACGUAGCACAUCAGAGCGGUUAAAACAAACACAGAGCGGAGCCAGACUGCCAAGGUCCAUUCCAUCUUACCAACUAGUAAGUUCUUUCAUCUCCUUGUGUCUCAGUUUCCCCCACUUGUAAGCGGGAUGUAAUACUACCUCAUGGACUCAUUAGGAAGAUCCACUGAGGUGCAAUCGGCAAUGCCCCAGAAGUAGUAGCAGGCAUAGGAUUAGCUAGUGUGUUUGCUGAUUGAACAUCAGCGCAGGGCGUUGGCCUGGUCCAAGGUGCCGAUGAUCCAAAGGCCUCAGUCCUCCUGGGAAUCCCUGGCUUAUGAGACUGCAAUGGCCUCAUUCCUUCUUUGAACAAAGGCAGGUGCUCCUGAGCCAUGCUCCCUUCCAAUUCCAAAUCUCUGCUGGGAAACUCUGAACACUUACGUGCUUAGCUGAUAGCACUAAUGUUGGCUCUGACACGCCCUGAUCUGACUCUGCAGCUCACCUCAAAGGUCAGAGUUGCAGUAUCCUUCCUCGUCUCAAAAACCGGCCCUGCUCUCUCUUUCCUGUCCAUUGAUAGGGGAAUUGUUACUGUCUGUCAAGUGACCGAAGACGGGGGUCAGGUUUCAGUAGCAACUCCCAGGGGAGUUUGGGGGCUCUGGGGCAAGAGCAGAAAUGUAGCAGGAAGCUGGGAACGGGCCUGGGGGGGCAGGAGGCAGAUGCGGACCGUGGCCUUCAAGUCUGCCCUGGGCUCGCUGUGGCCAGGGGCGGGGCCUGCUCCAGGCCUCUCCUCUUCUGACUCUUCACCGGGCCCUGAAGCUGCAGGAAGUCUGGAUGCUGCCCCCCGUAUAAGGCCAUUCUCUGCACUAGAAACAGUGGAUCUAGGGCUCCUGGGUGUGUCCAGGCCACGGGCCUUGCUGGGCCUUCUCCGGGGACAAAGACUGUCUUCCUUGAUUUCCUGCAGUCCAAUCCCUUACCUCCACGUUAGGCUGGCCCAGCUCAGCCCCUCCAGCCUGAGGCCCGCAGAGCCAGUAGCCGACAGGCAGCACAUCAGACGCCAAUUAGUUGCAAGCACUUCCAGGAGUCUCUGGUCACCACACUUCUGUCUCCUCUUCCUCUGUGUCAGAGCUGAGGUCAGGGCCUCCCUGAACCCCGGCCCGCUUUGGGGAGCAGCUCCCCCACCAGCAGCCAUGGUGGCCUGAUUCCAAAGUCUGGUUCUUCCCUUUUUCCCUGUUUCUUCAAACAAUGACGACUGUGUAUAUGGUUCUUUCCCCAACCUCAAUCUGGUAGAAGAGCCCAGACUCACGUCGCAAUCACUUUCUGCUUAGUAGAAAGGACUGGGAACAGAACUAAACUGUGCUGUGACACGUGAGGGAACAGGAGCAAUCGCCGCACCUAUCACUCUCUGUACCAUGUUCUCUCCAUUCAGCUCCAGGAUAAAUUUACCAGAGAAACCACAGAUACCCAGUUGCAUUUGAAUUUCAGAUAGAACAGGGAAAAAAACUUGGCUUAAGUAACAUCCGUGCAGUAUUUGGGACCUGCUUAGACCAAAGCAGUGAUUCAUUGUUUGCUUGGAUUCGGGUUUAAAUGGGGGCUGAUAUUCGUUUUCCUGAAUUGUCCUCCCUACUCUGGGAUGAGUCAUGUGGCCUGGGGAGCAGCAGUUUCCUCUGAGUUCCUCUCUAAGGCUGACACUGAUGCCUCUGGGGCCUUUGCAGCCAGCCUCCUGUUGAAGGGAGCUCACGCAAAGAUGAGCCAGGGUGGAAGAGCUGUGUCUGAGAAGCCACUGGCUCCACUCUGGGAUCAGCCAGAGGCUGCCCCUGGAAAUGGGAAGCCCCUUUGCAUCUCCGGAGGCAAAGGUUCCGGAAGAACCAAGAGGAGCUGAGGCUUUUCCACUCAACACUCAGGGCCCAGCACACACCAUAAAACCAGGAGACUCCGACGGCUUCCAUGAGCACAGCAAAUAGGAUGGCCUUCCCGCCCCACGCGUGUCCAGCAGGGUCAGCACGUACAUUCCGCCCUGGGGCAUGGACAGAGAGCCUGAAAUGGCCCCUGACUGUUGCGUCCAUCAACACUGAAAUGGCUGAGCAGGAAGAUGGUGAGAUACCGGGGCUGACUUUGCUCAGAGCAGGAAAGGGAACAUCCUUUUUUUUUUUUUUUUUUUUUGCCUUUUUAUGGCCACAGCUGCGGAAUACAGAAUUUCCA
rnacentral:lncRNA from 1 species